CAACAAACGAACAAAGACAAAACGAGAAUUGAAGAAAAAGAGAAUAAUGGAGAAUGGAGAAGCUUCUCCAAAGUCAUCAAAGCCUUCUUGUUCUCCUCCUCUUUCUCCCUCUCCUUCUCCCUCUCCU
rnacentral:ribozyme from 1 species